CCUACGGGGGGCAGCAGUGGGGGAUAUUGGACAAUGGGGGGAACCCUGAUCCAGCGACGCCGCGUGAGUGAAGAAGUAUCUCGGUAUGUAAAGCUCUAUCAGCAGGGAAGAAGAAAUGACGGUACCUGAGUAAGAAGCCCCGGCUAACUACGUGCCAGCAGCCGCGGUAAUACGUAGGGGGCAAGCGUUAUCCGGAAUUACUGGGUGUAAAGGGAGCGUGGACGGUGAUGUAAGUCUGGAGUGAAAGGCGGGGGCCCAACCCCCGGACUGCUCUGGAAACUAUGUGACUGGAGUGCAGGAGAGGUGAGCGGAAUUCCUAGUGUAGCGGUGAAAUGCUUAGAUAUGACGAAGAACCCCGAUUGCGAAGGCAGCUUGCUGCAGCGGAACUGACGCUGAUGCUCGAAAGCGCGGGUAUCGAACAGGAUUAGAUACCCGUGUAGUC
rnacentral:rRNA from 1 species